AGAGACAGCAGUAGCCACGGUAAUACGGAGGGGGCUAGCGUUGUUCGGAAUUACUGGGCGUAAAGCGCACGUAGGCGGCUUGGUAAGUUAGAGGUGAAAGCCUGGAGCUCAACUCCAGAAUUGCCUUUAAGACUGCCGAGCUAGUAGGUGAGAGAGGUAAGUGGAAUUCCGAGUGUAGAGGUGAAAUUCGUAGAUAUCGGAAGGAACACCUGUGGCGAAAGCGGCUCACUGGACCAUUUCUGACGCUGAUGCACGAAAGCUAGGGGAGCAAACAGGAUUAGAUACCCGCGUAGUCCCUGUCUCUUAUAC
rnacentral:rRNA from 1 species